rnacentral:rRNA from 1 species
UACGAAGGGGGCUAGCGUUGCUCGGAAUCACUGGGCGUAAAGGGUGCGUAGGCGGGUCUUUAAGUCAGGGGUGAAAUCCUGGAGCUCAACUCCAGAACUGCCUUUGAUACUGAAGGUCUUGAGUUCGGGAGAGGUGAGUGGAACUGCGAGUGUAGAGGUGAAAUUCGUAGAUAUUCGCAAGAACACCAGUGGCGAAGGCGGCUCACUGGCCCGGUACUGACGCUGAGGUGCGAAAGCGUGGGGAGCAAACGGG